GGAGGAGUGGCAGAGUGGUUGAAUGCACUGGUCUUGAAAACCAGCGUGCCCUUACGGGUACCGGGAGUUCGAAUCUCCCCUCCUCCGCCA
rnacentral:tRNA from 1 species